rnacentral:rRNA from 1 species
GUGGGGAAUCUUAGACAAUGGGGGAAACCCUGAUCUAGCCAUGCCGCGUGAUCGAUGAAGGCCUUAGGGUUGUAAAGAUCUUUCAGGUGGGAAGAUAAUGACUGUACCACCAGAAGAAGCCCCGGCUAACUCCGUGCCAGCAGCCGCGGUAAUACGGAGGGGGCUAGCGUUGUUCGGAAUUACUGGGCGUAAAGCGCACGUAGGCGGAUUGGAAAGUUGGGGGUGAAAUCCCGGGGCUCAACCCCGGAACUGCCUUCAAAACUCCCAGUCUUGAGUUCGAGAGAGGUGAGUGGAAUUCCGAGUGUAGAGGUGAAAUUCGUAGAUAUUCGGAGGAACACCAGUGGCGAAGGCGGCUCACUGGCUCGAUACUGACGCUGAGGUGCGAAAGCGUGGGGAGCAAACAGGAUUAGAUACCCGGGUAGUCC